UUUUUGUUAUAAGUAUAGAUGAUUCAUGAGCAGAUAAGUUAUCGUAAAUAAAAAUAAUAAAUCAUGUCGGCAAUAAAUAAAAGUCACAAAGCAUAAAUGAAAUAAAAAUAAAUUAUAAUAAUUUAUCGGUCGGAGUAUUAUAUAAAAUAAAGUUACGCGAUGAAAAAAUUUUUAAGUGUAAAAAAAGUUAUAGAAUUUUUGAUAAUAGAUAAAUGUACUUAUAAGAGCGUAUUGACAUGUUAAAUAUAUGAUAGAGAAUAACAAAAUCCGAGGAUCGUAGAUAAGUCUAACUGGUAGUGCAGUAACCAGGUCUUUUAUCUCCUUUCUACGGUAGCUGGUUUAUUUUAGUUGGCUUGUCCUGGCACCUGCGCACCUGUUGCUCGUUUAGAGUCGCUAGUUACGUUACUGUCACAAAAUUUUCAGUAAUCCAGUGACACAUGGGAAAUCCCUGCAAUGCAAUCAGAUACUCCGAGACUCCCAACGUAUGCAGAAGCAACAGCACCGGCAGAUCGUCAAUACGAACACCAUCCGACAGUAUAUUCAACGUAUCCAACUCCAAUACCCUCUUACACAACAACCGAGCUACCAAAUUAUGUACACUCGCCUUCAGUAAAUCUUUAUCAGUAUACAAACAAUCAGUUACCAACAAAUACUCCAGUAGCUCAACGCAUUCAUGUCAUAACAGAAGCACAUUCACAACCUCGUAGAUCAUUUAGUUGUACCAAACGUCAGGGAACUAUCUGGGGAAUUAUUUUCGGCUUACUUUUGUUCGCUGGAAUUUGUAGACUAAUAAUGUCUUUUUAUCACAAUAGGUAUUGAUCUAGUGUACAAAUAAUAUUAUUUUAUAAGAAAAUAAAAAUUAGUAACUAA